CCCAGCAAGACAAGUCCUGACUUGACCAUAUCCUCCCAGGAGGACAAUUCUGCUCCUGCUAGGACCCCAUGCGGCUCAACGCCGAUCUGACAUCCAACCUGGAGAAAACACUGGGAAGCAGAAAGGAGGUGCGGAUGCCUAGACAGCAAGUAGUGAACACUUCAUAUUUAGGCGGGCAUAUGCUGCUGUAAAGACUCCACUUCCCAGUUUUCCUGACUGCCUUCAAGUUAGAGUGAGCACAAGUAGGGAGAGCAGCAGGCAGACGGAGAGGGAG